rnacentral:misc_RNA from 1 species
UCCUCUCUCAAACCCUCCGGGGUUUGGUGUUGGACCGCGUUGGAUACCCCUCGGGGACCAACUGGUCUCAAAGACAAUGACGGCGUCCGUGGGACCCUCUUCGCACUGAGCUUUCCGGAGCACGCGUCGAGUUGCAAGGUCCCGGGGACCCGGCCAACCAUUUAUAUUUUUUCA